rnacentral:rRNA from 1 species
GAUGAACGCUGGCGGCGUGCUUAACACAUGCAAGUCGAACGAGAAGUGAAGACGGAAACCUUCGGGCGGAAGGCUUUAUUUCGAGUGGCGGACGGGUGAGUAACGCGUGGGUAACCUGCCUCAUACAGGGGGAUAACAGUUGGAAACGACCGUUAAUACCGCAUAAGACAACAGCACCGCAUGGUGCGGGGGUAAAAACUCCGGUGGUAUGAGAUGGACCCGCGUUCGAUUAGCCAGUUGGCGGGGUAACGGCCCACCAAAGCGACGAUCGAUAGCCGAUCUGAGAGGAAGACCGGCGACAUUGAGACUGAGACACAGCCCAAACUCCUACGGGAGGGAGCAGUGGGGAAUAUUGCAAAAUGGGGGAAACGCUGAUGCAGCGACGCCGGGUGAGUGAAGAAGUAUUUCGGUAUGGAAAGCUCUAUCAGCAGGGAAGAAAAUGACGGUACCUGAGGAAGAAGCCCCGGCUAACUACGUG